rnacentral:rRNA from 1 species
AUUGAACGCUGGCGGAAUGCUUUUCACAUGCAAGUCGAACGGCAGCACGGGAGCUUGCUCCUGGUGGCGAGUGGCGAACGGGUGAGUAAUAUAUCGGAACGUAUCCAAUAAUGGGGGAUAACUAGUCGAAAGAUUAGCUAAUACCGCGUACGCCCUGAGGGGGAAAGCUGGGGAUCUUCGGACCUAGCGUUAAUGGAGCGGCCGAUAUCUGAUUAGCUAGUAGGUGAGGUAAAGGCUCACCUAGGCAUCGAUCAGUAGCUGGUCUGAGAGGACGACCAGCCACACUGGAACUGAGACACGGUCCAGACUCCUACGGGAGGCAGCAGUGGGGAAUUUUGGACAAUGGGCGCAAGCCUGAUCCAGCCAUUCCGCGUGAGUGAAGAAGGCCUUCGGGUUGUAAAGCUCUUUCGCAAGGGAAGAAAACUUAACCUCUAACAUAGGUUGAGGCUGACGGUACCUUGAUAAGAAGCACCGGCUAACUACGUGCCAGCCGCCGCCGUAA